rnacentral:rRNA from 1 species
AGUGAACGCUGGCGGCAGGCCUAACACAUGCAAGUCGAGCGGCAGCGGGUCCUUCGGGAUGCCGGCGAGCGGCGGACGGGUGAGGAAUGCGUCGGAAUCUGCCUUUUUGUGGGGGAUAACGUAGGGAAACUUACGCUAUUACCGCAUACGACCUACGGGUGAAAGUGGGGGACGGCAAGGCCUCACGCGGAAAGAUGAGCGGACGUCGGAUUAGCUAGUUGGCGGGGUAAAGGCCCACCAAGGCGACGAUCCGUAGCUGGUCUGAGAGGAUGAUCAGCCACACUGGAACUGAGACACGGUCCAGACUCCUACGGGAGGCAGCAGUGGGGAAUAUUGGACAAUGGGCGCAAGCCUGAUCCAGCCAUGCCGCGUGUGUGAAGAAGGCCUUCGGGUUGUAAAGCACUUUUGUCCGGAAAGAAAUCCUGUCGGCUAAUACCCGGCGGGGAUGACGGUACCGGAAGAAUAAGCACCGGCUAACUUCGUG